rnacentral:rRNA from 1 species
AAUCAACGCUGGCGGCGUGCCUCAGACAUGCAAGUCGAACGCGAAAGUCCCCUUCGGGGGAUGAUUAGAGUGGCGCACGGGUGAGUAACACGUAGGUAAUCUACCUUCGAGUGGGGAAUAACUCAGGGAAACUUGAGCUAAUACCGCAUAAUGCAGCGGCACCACAUGGUGACAGUUGUUAAAGCAUUUAUGCGCUUGAAGAGGAGCCUGCGGCGGAUUAGCUAGUUGGUAAGGUAAUGGCUUACCAAGGCUACGAUCUGUAACCGGCCUGAGAGGGCGGACGGUCACACUGACACUGAAUAACGGGUCAGACUCCUACGGGAGGCAGCAGUCGGGAAUUUUGGGCAAUGGGCGAAAGCCUGACCCAGCAACGCCGCGUGAAGGAUGAAAUCCCUCGGGAUGUAAACUUCGCAAGAACGGGAAGAAUAAGCGAGAGUUAAUAUCUUUCGUGAU